rnacentral:rRNA from 1 species
AGAGUGAACGCUGGCGGUAGGCCUAACACAUGCAAGUCGAACGGCAGCACAGUGGUAGCAAUACCAUGGGUGGCGAGUGGCGGACGGGUGAGGAAUACAUCGGAAUCUACCUUUUCGUGGGGGAUAACGUAGGGAAACUUACGCUAAUACCGCAUACGCCCUUCGGGGGAAAGCCGGGGAUCGCAAGACCCUGGCGCGGAUAGAUGAGCCGAUGUCGGAUUAGCUAGUUGGUGAGGUAAUGGCUCACCAAGGCGACGAUCCGUAGCU